AGAAGCAGGCGGACGGCUCAGGCUCCUUGUGAGAAAGUGGACCGCUACGGAAGCAGCCGGAAGCGUUUUCCGUCUUCCUACCAGGCUUGCUCACGUUUGCAGGGAAUGUUCUGUUUCCUCCACACGUGCUUCCCUGGGCAUAGCAUGAGCAGACAUGAGCGCAACGAAGACACCCGCAGCUCAAAGGAUUGCAGCACGGAUCCUACCGACUGCUAAGCGAACGGAAACACCAGCCUCUACGCUGCUGUGUAAUCGCCCACUGUGAGUGCUAGUCCUGCCGGGGGUUUCGGCCGCACCAGGCAGUUGAGGUAGUCAUCAAAGUCCAGCUGGAGACUCUCGUCUGUGUACCUGAGGAUGAUCAGCUGCAGGAGAUGGCCACUCAGCUGAAAGCCUGCAGAGGGACAGGAGACCCAGGACCUGCGAUGACCGAGUCCCAAGGAAAUGAGAGGCUGUGGAUUCAUUCUGAGCUAAGAAAAAU